rfam:Flavobacterium branchiophilum FL-15, complete genome.
UUUUAGCCCAGAUUGAAGCGAAAAGCCAACGGACACAAAAGGGAUUUUUUUGUUGCUACAAAAGAGCGACCACCGGAAGCUCCUUUUGUAGCAUACAAAAAACCCUUUUGUGGCCGUGGGCUUGUAGCGAAAAGCUGGAUUGGCU